rnacentral:rRNA from 1 species
UACGGGGGGAGCAAGCGUUGUUCGGAUUUACUGGGCGUAAAGGGCGCGUAGGCGGUCAGCACAAGUCAGUUGUGAAAUCCCCGGGCUUAACUCGGAAAGGUCAACUGAUACUGUGCGACUAGAGUGCGGAAGGGGCAACUGGAAUUCUCGGUGUAGCGGUGAAAUGCGUAGAUAUCGAGAGGAACACCUGCGGCGAAGGCGGGUUGCUGGGCCGACACUGACGCUGAUGCGCGAAAGCCAGGGGAGCGAACGGG